GUUUGAAUGAUGACUUCAUAAAAGUCGGAUACCCCUUCACUCUCUAUGAGUGACAAUAAUAGUCUGACAAAC